rnacentral:rRNA from 1 species
GACGAACGCUGGCGGCGUGCUUAACACAUGCAAGUCGAACGGUAAGGCCCUUCGGGGUACACGAGUGGCGAACGGGUGAGUAACACGUGGGUGAUCUGCCCUGCACUUCGGGAUAAGCCUGGGAAACUGAGUCUAAUACCGGAUAGGACCACUGCCUGCAUGGGUGGUGGUGGAAAGCUUUUGCGGUGUGGGAUGGGCCCGCGGCCUAUCAGCUUGUUGGUGGGGUGAUGGCCUACCAAGGCGACGACGGGUAGCCGGCCUGGGAGGGUGAGCGGCCACACUGGGACUGAGAUACGGCCCAGACUCCUACGGGAGGCAGCAGUGGGGAAUAUUGCACAAUGGGCGCAAGCCUGAUGCAGCGACGCCGCGUGAGGGAUGACGGCCUUCGGGUUGUAAACCUCUUUCAGCACCGACGAAGCGCAAGUGACGGUAGGUGCAGAAGAAGGACCGGCCAACUACGUGCCAGCAGCCGCAGUAA